ensembl:misc_RNA Y_RNA Y RNA
AGCUGGUCCGAAGGUAGAGAGUUAUCUCACUUGAUUGUUCACAGUCGGUUACAGAUCGAACUCCUUGUUCUACAAUUUCCCCCUUCCCACUACUGCACUUGACUAGUCUUUU